GGGCCCGGAGCCACGGCGCGCAGAGCCCGCCUGUCCUCGCUCGCACCGCCCACCCGCCCGGCGCCCCGACGCGGACACGCCGGACAGACAGCGCUAAGCGAAAAGAGCCCGAGCUGGAAACUUUCGCGGGGUUUAGUUUCGUUUCCCAGAAGCAUCAGUUUGGUCGCAAAACAUUGAAAACGCGCGCUGCCACCAGUAGUCACAGGUACAAUUUUGAGGCGUGGAGGCCCAGAUCAGAGAAAGAUUUGGCUGAAAUAUCUGCACUUUCCGGGAAAGGAAUGAGCUCUCACAUGGACCGGUGGCAUCCAAAGCACUGGGGAUAUGGAGAAUAAUGGAGGACAAGAGACAUCCUCAGGGAGCUGCAGCAACUAAGCACGAAAUCACGAGACCCUCCAGAGAGUCAAGAGUGGACCCCAGGGUUUCAGGAAUGAUGAAGGGAGGCCUUUCCAAAGAGGGCAAACUUGAGUUGGAACCUGACAAGAUGGGGUGGAAGAACCCUCCAGGCAGAGGGAACAGCUCUGUAGAAAGGCCCCCAAGAAGGAGAAAUCUCAGGAUACUCAAGAAACAGGAAUGUACAACUGGGACAGAAAUAAGAGUUCAGAAACACAUUUCUGUAUACAUGGAAAUUUAGUCUGUGAUAAAUGUGGAAUUUCAGAUCAAUGGAAGAAACAUCCAGGGAUUCGCGUGGUGACGUGGCAGAAGGUAGCAUUUGAAGCACAGACAGCAGAAGACCUUUCUAUUGUGCUGUAUUCCUCAAAGUUAGUUUUUUUUUUAAAUCAAGCUAUUUCAAAAUCUGUGUUCCUGCUUUCAAUUUGUGUUGUUUUUUGUUUUUCUUGUUUUAAAGUGUGGAUAAAAUUUAUAAAGUAUAUAACCUAUAUGUGAGGAUGUUUG